GGAUCAGGGCAAUUAGCCUCGCACCGCAGGAACACGACAGAAGCAGAGCAAGAAGAAAACAGAGAGGAGUAAUGUGACAGAGCAACACCGUCACCAGGAAUGGACAACUGAUCUACACUGGUCUUAAUUAAACAGAUUCAUGACCCUCAUGGAGCUGGACAAUCCUCUAGAAGACUGGCCAGAGUCUCUGGACAUUUUUGGGUCAGCUUGGCUGGAUGCGCUCGGCAUGUCCAGAGCAGGAAAUAACUGGUCUGUUUGUCUGAAUCUUGUAGAACAUCUGUGUCUGGAUCUGGUGAGCCAGAUGGACUUUUUACUGGAGCACCGAGCCGUGUGUGUCAACGUGCUGGGCCCUCUGUACGCUGAUGACCCAUAUGUCUGGAUGUUCCUUCACAACUGAAACGGACUGAAGAGGUUUUUCUUCAUUUGUUGCUUUUUCAGCUUUGUCAACUGGGAAACAUUUGGACCACGGGGUAACUCAAAAGUCUCCAUCACAACAGAUGCAUCUUCUGGAGUGCAGAGUGUCCACUUUACACUUUUAAGUUGCCUCUGGUUUAAUGAGCAAUGGACAUUAUAGAAUGACAGCAAAGGACUGAAUGUUCAUCUCACAUGGCAGAAGCAGAAGACAAUCAUCUGUCAAGAUUCAUGCAUCUUUGGCCGCUAAUGACAACUGGAAGCAGAUCAGUUUAGCUGUUUAUCUGAACUUAAUGCCAGUUUGGAGCCUCACAGGAUGUGUAAUGUACUGUAUGUUUAACUGUGUGAUGUAAUUCAAUAUGUGUGAAUCUGAACGAGAUGAGAAACUGAAACAAUAGUUUGCACCACUGCGAUGAAAUAUCACAAUGUGAUGAAAUCUGAAAAACGUAUUGUGUUUGAACAUAAUCGACUACAUCCUCAUUUCACAAAUGUCAGUGUUCACUUCAUUACCAUGCAGGGCUUUAAUCUUUAUCUUAUCUUAUCAUCAUAUCUUGCAACAAUCUACACACAAUAUUCUUUUCACCGUUAUUCGAAAUGUCAGAUUUCUACCUCGUCUCCUUCUCAUUUAUUGUUACCAAUUUUACAUACAGUGGCUUCAGGAAGUAUUCAGACCCCUUCACUUUUUACACUUUAUUGUGUUGAAUAUGUCAUUUUUAAAUGGAUAAAAUUGCCAUCUUUACCAAUCUACACUAAAUAAACCAUAAUGUCAAAGUGAAAA